rnacentral:rRNA from 1 species
AAUGAUCAUCCCAGUCUACGGUUAUAUCAUCUGAUAUCAGAAGAUACGCAGGGUCAGGUCUGGCUAGUACUUAGAUGGGAGAUCUUAUGAUCACCCCAAUGGUUAUUC